ACAUUUCAAUGUUCUCACCAAAUGAUGCAAAGCAACAAGUAACCGUAUAAAUAUUAAUGCCAUUUAUCUUAUUGACAAUAUAUUCAUAUGUGUGACUAUAUCCAAUUCUUGCAUUAAAAUCACAUGUUUGGUUAUCACCAAAAAAUAAAAAUAAAAAAAUCACAUGCGUGUGGUUCAGACUUGAUGGAAAAUAGUGUAUAGUUCUUGUUGUAUAUGCCUUUAAAUCUUGUAUCUCUGAGUGUUCCAGUUCUGCCUAUUAUGUAAGCC
rnacentral:lncRNA from 1 species